rnacentral:lncRNA from 12 species
UACAGGCAGGUAUCUCAGCUGGUUCAGUGAAAAAGCAAAGCGGUUUCAUUUCCCGGCCUGAGGCCUCAGCUCCACAGAGAGCCCUACAAUCUUCCCUUUUACUGCUCCAAGAUAACUUCACAAGCACCAGAUGGUUCUGGUUCCUGUCCUGAGACCACAGCAGGAUGUGCCUUGGACAAAGGCUUGGAUUCCUGGAUCAUCUGGUGACUUCAAGUAUCUGGUAAGACAUUUUUUGUUAUGUAGUAUUAUCAAUAUUUUUGUUUCCUUGCCACAAAUCUUUGGAGGGUGUUUCUUUUUUUUUUUUUCUCCUCUCUCAAGCUUAAUCCAUUUUCCUAAUUCUAUCCUCAUUUCCAUCACCUGAGGUUGAAUCUCAGAAGGCCAAUAGAAGAAGAUCAGUUGCAUCUUAGCACAUGUAAAAUGAUCUGAAAGGCCAGAUACUACUUUCAGAUUCAAUUUCAUGGGUCAGGAAAUUAUUCCAAAAAGCAGGAGCAUUUGUUCCUCAAGGAUCAAAACGUACCAUGGAAGAUUCUGCCCUAGAAAAGACGAUUAUUUUGGGUAAAAUGUAGAAAGUAUUAAUUGGAAAAAUUUUCUUUUAAUAUCAAAUGUGACAGUUGCAUUUUGCAUAAAAACCAUGGGGGCUAAGUAUGAUGACUGUAUUUAAAAUUUUUUUCAUUGCUAAAAUGUUGGUAUUAUAGCUUACAUAAUAUAAAACUAGAAACACACUGAAGACACUGUUCCUUUUGCCAUGGAAACUCUAAAAUUUCUUAUGGCAUUUGCCUGAUACAUACAUUAUAGACAUGGGAAAGAUAUAUUAUUUAAUUAAAAAGAUGAUGCUAAGGUAGAAUUUUUUCUAUUAAAUUAUAUUUUUACAAACAACAGCUUUUUAUUCAUCUUAGAAUCUACCCAGUCCUUUUAUUUUCCUCCAAAUAUUAUUGAAAGUUUGAUAACAUUCCAAUUCAUAUGGUGAGAUCCUACUAUGUUCUGAAUCUCUGUAAGAUUAUAAAACAUGUUAUCUCAUAUUCUCUUAUUUAAUUUUCUAGGUGAGUCUUUUUUUUUAAGGUUCCUUUAUUUAUUCAUGAGAGACCCAGAAAGAGGCAGAGACAGAGGCAGAGGGAGAAGCAGUCUCCCCGCAGGGAGCCAGAUGUGGGGAUCACGCCCUGAGCUGAAGGCAGAAGCUCAGCUCAACCACUGAACCACCCAGGCGUCCCUAAUUUUCUAAAAAAUAUUCUAUCUUGAAUUUUUAUUCUUGUUUAUUAGCCUGGGAGCACCCCCAUUACAUUUUUUAAAGUUCUUAGGAUUGCCUUUUCUGUAUACCCAGCUGAGAGUAAUAGGAAAUUCCAUCUUGGCAGAGUGUGGAUUACAGCCUUCUUACACACCAUUAUAUACUAAUAACUGGUUAUUGCUUGGUUGGAAUGGGAGGGUGGUGAGAGUUCAGCAUGCCUUUUUAUUGUGUAUUGGCUCUUGCUCCCAAAUGCUUUUCCUGGUUUCUCAGUGAGUACCUUCUGGCCAUCUUCUCAUGACUUUUCUGUGCAGCUUCAAGCUAUCCCAGUCUACACCUUCUGCCAGACAGUAGCAAAGUUGAUAGUAAACUGUCAUAUUUAAAAACGACUAUAGGGGAUCCCUGGGUGGCUCAGUGGUUUAGCGACUGCUUAUGGCCCAGGGUGCGAACCUGGAGUCCCGGGAUCGAAUCCCAGGUCAGGCUCCCGGCAUGGAGUCUGCUUCUCCUCCUGUAUCUCUGCCUCUCUCUCUCUCUCUCUCUCAUAAAUAAAUAAAUAAAUAAAUAAAUAAAUAAAUAAAUA